rnacentral:rRNA from 2 species
UGCAGUCGACGACUCUGGUAUUGAUUGGUGCUUGCAUCAUGAUUUACAUUUGAGUGAGUGGCGAACUGGUGAGUAACACGUGGGAAACCUGCCCAGAAGCGGGGGAUAACACCUGGAAACAGAUGCUAAUACCGCAUAACAACUUGGACCGCAUGGUCCGAGCUUGAAAGAUGGCUUCGGCUAUCACUUUUGGAUGGUCCCGCGGCGUAUUAGCUAGAUGGUGGGGUAACGGCUCACCAUGGCAAUGAUACGUAGCCGACCUGAGAGGGUAAUCGGCCACAUUGGGACUGAGACACGGCCCAAACUCCUACGGGAGGCAGCAGUAGGGAAUCUUCCACAAUGGACGAAAGUCUGAUGGAGCAACGCCGCGUGAGUGAAGAAGGGUUUCGGCUCGUAAAACUCUGUUGUUAAAGAAGAACAUAUCUGAGAGUAACUGUUCAGGUAUUGACGGUAUUUAACCAGAAAGCCACGGCUAACUACGUGCCAGCAGCCGCGGUAAUACGUAGGUGGCAAGCGUUGUCCGGAUUUAUUGGGCGUAAAGCGAGCGCAGGCGGUUUUUUAAGUCUGAUGUGAAAGCCUUCGGCUCAACCGAAGAAGUGCAUCGGAAACUGGGAAACUUGAGUGCAGAAGAGGACAGUGGAACUCCAUGUGUAGCGGUGAAAUGCGUAGAUAUAUGGAAGAACACCAGUGGCGAAGGCGGCUGUCUGGUCUGUAACUGACGCUGAGGCUCGAAAGUAUGGGUAGCAAACAGGAUUAGAUACCCUGGUAGUCCAUACCGUAAACGAUGAAUGCUAAGUGUUGGAGGGUUUCCGCCCUUCAGUGCUGCAGCUAACGCAUUAAGCAUUCCGCCUGGGGAGUACGGCCGCAAGGCUGAAACUCAAAGGAAUUGACGGGGGCCCGCACAAGCGGUGGAGCAUGUGGUUUAAUUCGAAGCUACGCGAAGAACCUUACCAGGUCUUGACAUACUAUGCAAAUCUAAGAGAUUAGACGUUCCCUUCGGGGACAUGGAUACAGGUGGUGCAUGGUUGUCGUCAGCUCGUGUCGUGAGAUGUUGGGUUAAGUCCCGCAACGAGCGCAACCCUUAUUAUCAGUUGCCAGCAUUAAGUUGGGCACUCUGGUGAGACUGCCGGUGACAAACCGGAGGAAGGUGGGGAUGACGUCAAAUCAUCAUGCCCCUUAUGACCUGGGCUACACACGUGCUACAAUGGAUGGUACAACGAGUUGCGAACUCGCGAGAGUAAGCUAAUCUCUUAAAGCCAUUCUCAGUUCGGAUUGUAGGCUGCAACUCGCCUACAUGAAGUCGGAAUCGCUAGUAAUCGCGGAUCAGCAUGCCGCGGUGAAUACGUUCCCGGGCCUUGUACACACCGCCCGUCACACCAUGAGAGUUUGUAACACCCAAAGUCGG